AGCCCUUUCAAUUAUAGAAGUCACCCACUUUAACUGCUCAUUGAGUAAUGGAGGCUGCAGUCACUUCUGCACAGAGACUGGGAACAGUACAUCACGUCUGUGUAGCUGUGCCCCGGGUUACCAGCUGGAUGAUGACUAUCAGAGCUGUAAGUCUGUUGUGGAGUUUCCUUGUGGCAAAAUGAAAAUAUUCAACUUCGACUAUUCAGCCCGCCUCAUAGGAGCAAAGAAAGGACGUAAAGGAGACAGUCCCUGGCAAGUUAUGCUUCUUUAUGAGAAGAAGUUCCAAUGUGGUGGAGUCUUGAUUUACCCAACAUGGGUUCUGACCGCAGCCCAUUGUUUUAAACAUCCUGGAAAGUACUUUGUGCGGCUUGGUA